GCUAAGUCGGAUCCUACAGAAGUAAACAUUCUUGCGGAGUUUCUGAAUGUAGAACCUAAGUGUUCUUGCUUCUUCUCCAGCCAGGGAGUUUUGUCAUGCAUACUAACCAGGAGCUCAAGGGUUAUAAAGAAAAAGACCACCGUAAACCACUAAGCAAGAGGAAACAAACAGCUACUUCUAAUAGCGCUGCUGGAGACACUAGUAGUAGAAAAAGGGAUUUCAGUUAAUAAUUCACCUCUUCAGUGCAGCCUGAAUCCUGUCUGCUGCUCACUUAUGAUAUGAUUCAACAGUAUACAAAGAAGUGUUGGACAAUUAAGGAGGACGCCUACCACCAUUCUUCAACUCGACAUGUAGGCGCAAAGGGACAACAGGCUCAGCGACCAUUUAAAGACAGUUGCAGACUAGUGCACUGAGAUCCUAUUAGAUUACAAAGUCACCCAUGACCCAUUCAUUUCAUGAUCACCAGUUUUACAUAUGAUGCCAUUGCGCUUCAGCAACCUUGAGUGCUUUUGAGGUAUAAAGAUGUCCUGUUAGGAGCAGUCAAAGCUUCAUCUGUUCUUUUGGUCCUUUCUUCUCUCCUAUCCUAAUCCCAUUCUUGGUAUGCCACAAGCAACAUACUCCAUGUUGUACUAAGCUUGAGUUCGCCUGGAAGACUACCUAUGGUCUACCACUGAAGACUUUUUCUGUUUUUUUCUUUGUAUUUAAGAAGUUAGUAUCUGUCUGUUGGCUUGACAAUAUAGCAUUUUCUGC
rnacentral:lncRNA from 1 species